rnacentral:rRNA from 1 species
GACGAACGCUGGCGGCGUGCCUAACACAUGCAAGUCGAACGGAGAGGACAUGAAGUAUUUCGGUACGGAAUGCUCUCUUAGUGGCGAACGGGUGAGUAACACGUGGGCAACCUGCCCCAGACUGGGGGAUAACAUUGUGAAAACAGUGCUAAUACCGCAUGACAGGGUUCCGGGCAUCCGGGACCCUUGAAAGGAGAAAUCCGGUCAGGGAUGGGCCCGCGUCCAAUUAGCUAGUUGGCGGGGUAACGGCCCACCAAGGCGACGAUUGGUAGCCGAACUGAGAGGUUGAUCGGCCACAUUGGGACUGAGACACGGCCCAGACUCCUACGGGAGGCAGCAGUGGGGAAUAUUGGGCAAUGGGCGAAAGCCUGACCCAGCGACGCCGCGUGAAGGAUGAAGGUCUUCGGAUUGUAAACUUCUUUGAUCAGGGAAGAAGAAAUGACGGUACCUGAAAACAAGCCACGGCUAACUACGUG